UCCGGGCCGGGGCGGCAACGCGCUCCGGGCCGGGGCAGCUGCCACCGGCGCCGGGACCGCCGGCUCCCGAGCCUUCGCCCCACACCGCGCGUCCGUAGCGAGGUGCUGGGCCCCAGCCCGUCAGUGUUCGCGAAGGAGGCAAAGGAUGGGCACGCCGACGUGGAGCAGAAGGGAAGGGACGGUCCCAGGCACAGCGAGGGGCCGCACCUUCGCUCCGCGGAAGUUUCUUCCAGUCUCAGUGUUCAACUCCGGCGAGGCUGGAGCGCGGCGCGGGGCUGGACAGGGCGGGAGCCGGGCGGGCUCCGCCGCCUGCUCCCGAGGCGCCUCUCCGCAGCGGAGGCGGCGAGGAAGCGGCACAAGUGCGCGGCGCCCUCGCUGCCUCUCUCCUUCUGAUGCCCCUUCGCGACUGCACGCCAGCCCGGCGGCCGCGGCUCCGGGAGGAUGCGACUCUUCCUCCUUACUGCAACUUUUUGGGGAUUGUGCCUGACUCCAGGGUUGGGUUUGCAAAUACAGUGCUACCAGUGUGAGGAGUUCCAGCUGAAUAAUGACUGCUCUGCACCGGAGUUCAUUGUGAAUUGUACAGUGAAUGUUCAAGAUAUGUGUCAGAAAGAAGUAAUGGAAAAAAGUUUUGGCAUCAUGUAUCGUAAAUCCUGCGCGUCUUCGGCAGCCUGCCUGAUAGCUUCUGCUGGGUACCAGUCCUUUUGUUCUCCAGGGAAGGUGAACUCUGUUUGCAUCAGCUGCUGCAACACUCCCCUCUGCAAUGGACCCCGGCCCAAGAAGAGAGGGAAUUCUGCCAUGGUGCCGAGGGCACACAUAAUGACCACCCUUCUGCUUCUUAAACUGGCUCUGUUGGUUUCGUAUUGCUAAACUUCAAGCAAUUUUUUUUUUGCCCUGGCACAAUUUGUUCUGUCUCCUCCUUUCUUCACAGACACUGCAAUUAUUUUCUGUUUGUUCCCAAAUCACUGUCAACAGCGAGGGAAGUUCAGAGGUUGUGGGGAGAGAUGGGCUAAUGUUUUUGGCAGCUAAAGAAUUUCAGUUAGCAGAUUGAAUUUCUAGUGUGCACUCAAAAAUCCCAGCAGCAGGAUGCAGGACUCCUGCUCUCUUUGCAUAACUGGAAACAAAUCAGUCUGUGUUAUUCCUCUUAGACAUAGUCAGCUCCUCAGUCAGUUGCAUUUCCAUGUUUUGAAGUCCAUUGCUAAUUGUUACCUCUGCCUUAUGAAGUCAUACUCGAAGUUCACAAAGGCCAUCUUGUGUGUCUGGACUGGGCUCUGAGCUACUCUCUAGUGGCACUACUUCCAAGCUGGGUGCUGGUGGUUCGAGAUCCGGUUUCUGUGAGCUGAAGUCAGGCUUGUUCUCAUUCUGGAAAGUACUUAAGAACACUUUGGUAUUGCCUCUCGUAGAAGACUUACGCCUAACCGAAAAGGAGAGCAGUGGGCGUAGAGACCUUGCUGUGGAGCGCAGGUUGGCUCUGAGAAACUUCUCCUUGUUGGCAUGCUCUAUUGUCAGGCGGCAGCGGAGGACCUGCAGGAACACGCUGCGGAACUGCUGAGAAGAGAUGUUGUACAGGAGGGGGUUCACCACUGAGCUGAGGUAGAAGAAGAUGUCAGCGAUGGGAAGAAGAGUGAUAUAUGCUCUGAAGUAGGGGACAGUCCAAUCCUGCUUUGGUUUAGCAGCAGCCAUGAUCCUUCUAACCUGGUUUGGCAUCCAGCAUAUUGCCAGAGUUGCAACAAUCAGUCCUGUGAACACAAAGAAGAAAAAAGAGGUGUGCAUACACGGAGCGGGGGGAAAUAUAACACACUUAGUGUCCAUUCUGCACUUGUUAGAAAUAGUACCAGCUUUUCAAUGUUCUCCUUGACAGAUUUUUCUGUGGGUACUGUUCUUUGUUGUUUUUAAUAACUGUUACAAGGUCAUUGCAGCACAAAAGACUGCAGAGUGCUUGGAUGGUGUUUCUUUGUACCUGUUGUCAUUUAUUAGUUUUCAAAGUGUCCUCUCACUGCUCUCUGUAUCUUUAGAAUGCGUUUUUAUUUCAGUUGGUGUUCUUACAACCAGUGCAGGGCUACAAAGAUAAUGAUGGGACUGGACCUCUAUAUGAGGAAAGGCUGAGAAACCAGGGGCUGUUUAGCCUGGAGGAGAGAAGACCAAGAGGGGAUCUUAUCAAUGCUUAAUCAGUAUGUAAAGGGUGAGGAGCAAAAUGAUAGGGCCAGACUGUUUUCAGGGCUGCCCAGUGAUAGGCAAUAGGCUGUGGGCACAGACUCGGGAGGUUCCAUCUGAACAUGAGGAGAAAUUCCUCCAGUGUGCCACAGCAGUGGAACAGGCUUCCCAGAGAGGUUGUGGAGUCUCCUCUGGAGAGCUUCCAAACCCACCUGGACAUAGUGAUCCUGGGCAACCUGCUCUGGGUGACCCCACUUGAGCAGGGCAGUUGGACUUGAUUGUCUCCAGAGGUCCCUUCCAACCCCUCCUGUUCUGUGAUUUAUGUAUUUCCCUUUACUUUGAAAAACAAACAAAAUAAAUAGAACCUAUAGCCAUAUUAGAUCAGGCAAUACCCAGAAGAGAUCAGAUUCUUGUUUGUACUUUAAAAAAAAAAUGUAUGCAUAAUAAUAUAUUUCAUGUUAUUUUUGGUAAAUUUCCUCUUACAGAAGAUAUUUUUAAGUAAAAUAUGUAUGGAUCUUUUUAUGGUAAUUAAGAUAUGUUGAGCUUUCUUAAAAGUCAAAUUCCAGUGGAAUUAAACUAUGAAUGUAAAUGAGCAAAACCCAAGCCUAAUCAUGAAAGUGUAAGCAGUUUCAGAUUAUGAAUUAUGCUUUAAAAUGUGGUAUCUGACCAUUUUGUAUUUAUAUGUAAAUAUAAAUACAUGUUGCUGCAUCACUAAUGGCAUUAAAAAUGGGGUGACUUAAGUGUUGGAGGUCUGAGCAUUCUGACUCCGUGGACCAGUGCUCACUAGCAUUCCAGUGCUGAUGCCAUCUUCAGAAGGGUAACCCUGCAGAAACGUGUGAGCGAGCUCUAGCAGGCUCUGCUCCAGUCCUGGUUGGCAUCCAGUGCUUCUGGUGCACAUAAGCACUGGAAGUCCUGACAUCGUGCAUGAAAUACCAGGAAACGUGCCUUAUAUGAACACAGAGGGAGCAGAAGUUGCAGGUUGGCUUCCCUGCUGCAGAGGCACAGAACAGUGGAAAGCAUCCCAGUGAUGUCCAGGUUUCACUUUCAGUAGAUUUCUGUUUCAUUGUUAAUCUCCUUCAAGGUCCCUCCUCCUUUCUCCACAGAAGCACAGAGGCAGAGUAAGUUUUACCUGUCUAGGCGAAGUCAGGUAUCAGCACGGAACAGAUUGCUGCAGCUCUCUAGUACUGCAUUUCCAAGCCAGGAAAAUGCCACUUCAGUAGUGGGAAGAAACAAAUGCAACAGGGAAAGGGGGGCAGAAAAAAGAAGAAAGAUUGAUCACAGCUUUGAAACUUCCAGGGCUUGAACAAAGUACGUCCAAAGUUCUCUCUACCAGACCCCAGCAAAGAAAAGGUAUGAAAUGUCUGGUGUAGUUGUUUGUUUUUAAAAGAAAUUAAUUUUUAAAUGAAAACUUAAAUUAACAAAUGAAUGAGCUACCAAAUAAAAGUUGUCUUUGAUAA